CCAAUAGCGUAUAUUAAAGUUGUUGCAGUUAAAAAGCUCGUAGUUGAAUUUCGGGACUGACAGGUUGGUCGCGCCUUCGGUGUGUACUGGCCUAGUCGGUUUCUCCCUUCUGACGAACCACGAUGUCAUUAAUUUGGUGUCGUGGGGAAUCAGGACUGUUACUUUGAAAAAAUUAGAGUGUUUAAAGCAGGCUUAGGCUUGAAUACAUUAGCAUGGAAUAAUGAAAUAGGACGUUUGAUCCUAUUUUGUUGGUUUCUAGGAUCGACGUAAUGAUUAAUAGGGAUAGUUGGGGGCAUUAGUAUUCAAUUGUCAGAGGUGAAAUUCUUGGAUUUAUUGAAGACUAACUACUGCGAAAGCAUUUGCCAAGGAUGUUUUCAUUAAUCAAGAACGAAAGUUAGGGGAUCGAAGACGAUCAGAUACCGUCGUAGUCUUAACCAUAAACUAUGCCGACUAGGGAUCGGAUGAUGUUAAUUUUAUAAUGACUCAUUCGGCGCCUUACG
rnacentral:rRNA from 1 species